rnacentral:rRNA from 1 species
AAAUUGAAGAGUUUGAUCAUGGCUCAGAUUGAACGCUGGCGGCAGGCCUAACACAUGCAAGUCGAGCGGAAACGAGUUAUA